rnacentral:tRNA from 1 species
GCCCGGGUGGCGGAAUAGGUAGACGCAAGGGACUUAAAAUCCCUCGAAACUUAGUUUCGUGCCGGUUCGAUUCCGGCCCCGGGCACCA